rnacentral:rRNA from 1 species
ACGGAGGGUGCGAGCGUUAUUCGGAAUUACUGGGCGUAAAGCGCGUGCAGGCGGGGAGGCAAGUCUGAUGUGAAAGCCCUGGGCUUAACCCGGGAAGUGCCUUGGAAACUAUCUUUCUUGAGUACUGGAGAGGUAGGGGGAAUUCCCGGUGGAGGGGGGUGAUGCGUAGAAAUAGGUAGGAAUAGCAGUGGCGAAGGCGGCUUUCUGGACGGUUACUGACGCUGAGACGCGAAAGCGUGGGGAGCAAACAG